rnacentral:rRNA from 1 species
UCAACCAAAGGAGCAAUCCGCUAUGAGAUGGACCCGCGGCGCAUUAGCUAGUUGGUGGGGUAACGGCCUACCAAGGCGACGAUGCGUAGCCGACCUGAGAGGGUGAUCGGCCACAUUGGGACUGAGACACGGCCCAGACUCCUACGGGAGGCAGCAGUGGGGAAUAUUGCACAAUGGGGGAAACCCUGAUGCAGCAACGCCGCGUGAGUGAUGAAGGUUUUCGGAUCGUAAAGCUCUGUCUUUGGGGAAGAUAAUGACGGUACCCAAGGAGGAAGCCACGGCUAACUACGUGCCAGCAGCCGCGGUAAUACGUAGGUGGCGAGCGUUAUCCGGAUUUACUGGGC